AUUGAACGCUGGCGGCAGGCCUAACACAUGCACGUCGAACGAGUGGCGGACGGGUGAGUAAUGUCUGGGAAACUGCCUGAUAGAGGGGGAUAACUACUGGAAACGGUAGCUAAUACCGCAUACCAUCGGAUGUGCCCAGAGGGGAUUAGCUAGUCGGUGGGGUAAAGGCUAACCGAGGCGACGAUCCCUAGCUGGUCUGAGAGGAUGACCCGCCACACGGUAGCUGAGCCACGGGCCAGACUCCUACGGGAGGCAGCAGUGGGGAAUAUUGCACAAUGGGCGAAAGCCUGAUUCAGCCAGGCCGCGUGUAUGAAGAAGGCCUUCGGGUUGUAAAGUACUUUCAGCGGGGAAGCGUUACCCGCAGAAGAAGCACCGGCUAACUCCGUGCCAGCAGCCGCGGUAAUAC
rnacentral:rRNA from 1 species